AACGGAAACGGUCAAGACAUAAUU
rnacentral:sRNA from 1 species